UAGAAGAAAACAGUGUCAUUGUUCAGCUUAAGUCAGUUCAGUGUUGAUUUAGUUCCAUUGUCUCUAAAAAAUUGACAGUGGCGAGGAACUGGCAGUUUUGUGUCCCUUUAUACUCUAAUUACUAUAAGAAAGAGGAGCUGGUGAUGGACAGGGACCAGGAGGAGACAAACACCAUGGUGGAGCCGAUGGCGGGAGAAGCGAGGGUGGAGCUUUGGCUGAAAGGAUGGGCAGAACCCAGGGACUGAUCGACUGAGGUGGAACCAGGGUGCAUGAAGGAACCGGUGGUGCAGAGAGGCUGACGGACCAGGGUGACUUCUAUGCCAGGAAGCCCAAGGUGAAGCUGCUAGCUCGCGGGACAGAGACCACCAUCCUGGAGCAUCCAGCCCAAAUACUCCAGCAAAUUCCAGUGUUCAGGGAGGAGAAGGAGGUGCCACGCUGAGCUCUCGAGAAGCCCUCAAUAAUAACAGACAGGCCAGGCUGUUCCUCACCCCGAUGAAGGAGCAUCUUCAGCCCUCUUCACGCGCAGCAGUCCCCCCAGAACAAACCACCACUCUUGGGUAUUAAUCAACUGCCCCUUUACAUGCCCUCACCCAAACUCUCAUUGUGUGGGAGUUCAUUCCAGCACUGCCAUUGAUGCCUGUAAGGGCACUACGGCUAUGAAUAAUGGGCCUCAGGAAUAUAAUGCUGAUUUAUGCAAAUAACAGAAGAGGCUCCAACUGCCCAUGUAACUCUUUCCAAAACAAAACAAACAGAUGAGAUGCUGAAAGAGAAGAUCAAUGCUCUGGAGGAAAAAGUGGAGUCUUUGACUGAAGAGAGAAACUUUCUCAGAGAGAGUCUGGAAGAUGGUGUUUCCCCUCCACUACUGUGGCACAAAUUGCACAAACACUUGAAAUAUAAAUUAAUAAAUAAAUAAAUAUA